rnacentral:rRNA from 1 species
AUUGAACGCUAGCGGGAUGCUUUACACAUGCAAGUCGAACGGCAGCGCGGACUUCGGUCUGGCGGCGAGUGGCGAACGGGUGAGUAAUGUAUCGGAACGUGCCCAGUAGCGGGGGAUAACUACGCGAAAGCGUAGCUAAUACCGCAUACGCCCUACGGGUGAAAGCAGGGGAUCGUAAGACCUUGCACUAUUGGAGCGGCCGAUAUCGGAUUAGCUAGUUGGUGAGGUAACGGCUCACCAAGGCGACGAUCCGUAGCUGGUUUGAGAGGACGACCAGCCACACUGGGACUGAGACACGGCCCAGACUCCUACGGGAGGCAGCAGUGGGGAAUUUUGGACAAUGGGGGCAACCCUGAUCCAGCCAUCCCGCGUGUGCGAUGAAGGCCUUCGGGUUGUAAAGCACUUUUGGCAGGAAAGAAACGACGCGGGCUAAUACCCCGUGGAACUGACGGUACCUGCAGAAUAAGCACCGGCUAACUACGUG